AUGCGGAGAUUAAGGCAUUGAGAGAAGGCAGAAAGGUUCGGAUCUACCCCCUUCUAUCUCUCUCUCUCUCUCUAUGACUAUCGUAAAUCUGAUUUGGUUGUUGAUUUUUGUUUGUUUGUGUUGGUUGUUGAUUCUGUUUUGUUAAUGAUUCUGUUGAUUUUCGUUUGUUUGUGUUGGCUUUCAAUUCUAGGUGUGUCGAUCAACAGGAAACAGCGAGUGGUGCAUCCUCCUAAGCCAAAAGAAGCCUCUUUGGCUAUCAAAUGGGAAUGUAUUUAAUAUUUUCAUUAAUGGAAAAUUGGAUAAAGUUAUUUCAAUAGCAUUGCACUUUUCAUGCAAACUGGAGUCACUUCACCAGUAACAUGAAGAUUCUUUAUGUUCUGUUGUUAGCUAUUGGUGGGGAAUAUGAAUGAGCUCUCUCUCUCGCUCUCGCAUGCCCUACCUCUCUCUCACGCUCGCCAUCAUGGUUCACAAGUAUGGAUCUCUCUGUGUAGGUUUCUCAUUCUCUCUCUCGGUCUCUUAAUCUCUCUCUUGAUCUCUCAAUCUUGAAGACCUAA